AGUGAAUAGAUACCCGGGUAGUCCCAGCUGUAAACGAUGCGCGUUAGGUGUAUCGGUGACCACGAGUCACCGAGGUGCCGAAAGGGAAACCGUGAAACGUGCCGCCUGGGAAGUACGGUCGCAAGGCUGAAACUUAAAGGAAUUGGCGGGGGAGGCACCACAACAAGGUGGAGCCUGCGGUUUAAAUUACGGACUCAACGCCGGGAAGGCUCACCGGAUAAGACAGCUGAAUGAUAGCCGGGUUGAAGACUCUGCUUGACUAGCUGAGAGGAGGUGCAUGGCCGUCGUCAGUUCGUACUGUGAAGCAUCCUGUUAAGUCAGGCAACGAGCGAGACCCACGCCAACAGUUGCCAGCAUGUCCUCCGGGUAUGGUGGGGACACUGUUGGGACCGCCUCUGCUAAACGAGGAGGAAGGAAUGGGC
rnacentral:rRNA from 1 species